rnacentral:rRNA from 1 species
CACAUGCAAGUCGAGCGGGCGUAGCAAUACGUCAGCGGCAGACGGGUGAGUAACGCGUGGGAACAUACCUUUUGGUUCGGAACAACACAGGGAAACUUGUGCUAAUACCGGAUAAGCCCUUACGGGGAAAGAUUUAUCGCCGAAAGAUUGGCCCGCGUCUGAUUAGCUAGUUGGUGAGGUAAUGGCUCACCAAGGCGACGAUCAGUAGCUGGUCUGAGAGGAUGAUCAGCCACAUUGGGACUGAGACACGGCCCAAACUCCUACGGGAGGCAGCAGUGGGGAAUAUUGGACAAUGGGCGCAAGCCUGAUCCAGCCAUGCCGCGUGAGUGAUGAAGGCCCUAGGGUUGUAAAGCUCUUUUGUGCGGGAAGAUAAUGACGGUACCGCAAGAAUAAGCCCCGGCUAGCUUCGUGCCAGCAGCCGCGGUAAUACGAAGGGGGCUAGCGUUGCUCGGAAUCACUGGGCGUAAAGGGUGCGUAGGCGGGUCUUUAAGUCAGGGGUGAAAUCCUGGAGCUCAACUCCAGAACUGCCUUUGAUACUGAGGAUCUUGGGUACGGGAGAGGUGAGUGGAACUGCGAGUGUAGAGGUGAAAUUCGUAGAUAUUCGCAAGAACACCAGUGGCGAAGGCGGCUCACUGGCCCGAUACUGACGCUGAGGCACGAAAGCGUGGGGAGCAAACAGGAUAAGAUACCCUGGUAGUCCACGCCGUAAACGAUGAAUGCCAGCCGUUAGUGGGUUUACUCACUAGUGGCGCAGCUAACGCUUUAAGCAUUCCGCCUGGGGAGUACGGUCGCAAGAUUAAAACUCAAAGGAAUUGACGG